rnacentral:rRNA from 1 species
UACGUAGGGACCAAGCGUUGUUCGGAUUUACUGGGCGUAAAGGGCGCGUAGGCGGCGUGACAAGUCACUUGUGAAAUCUCUGGGCUUAACCCAGAACGGCCAAGUGAAACUGUUGUGCUAGAGUGCAGAAGGGGCAAUCGGAAUUCUCGGUGUAGCGGUGAAAUGCGUAGAUAUCGAGAGGAACACCAGAGGUGAAGACGGGUUGCUGGGCUGACACUGACGCUGAGGAGCGAAAGCGUGGGGAGCGAACAGG